CAAACACUCUCUUCUUCACUUCAGACACCACUUAUCAGAAAGAAUCUCACACUCACGCCCCAAUUCAGAGUUCUUUGCCAGUUAUAAUGGCUCUUCAGGCUGCUUCUUUGGUUUCCUCUGGCUUUGUUGUCCCCAAAGAGGCUAAAUCUAAUGCUUCUUUCAAGGACUCAAGUUUAUUUGGAGUUUCACUCUCAGACCAUCUCAAAGCUGACUUUAGCUC
rnacentral:misc_RNA from 1 species